AUAUUCGAUUCCAUUCUAGCGUUAGUCAUUUUUCCGUCACCCGUUAGGGAUUCUCCGUUUCCUUUUUGUGUUUUUGUUUCUCUCUUUCGCUGGAACAUAACGGACGUGUCGUUGCGUCGUCCUCCUCGUCGCGCGCAUGUGUGUGUGGUGUCUGUGUGUACUGAAACAUUUUGGGGUCGUAGCAAAUCGGAAAAAAAUUCUUAAUUAUACAAUACAAUACUCGUGCUUGUUCUCGCAGCGAAUCGAAGUGAGGCAAUUGUGAGAUUUGUCCGGAAAGGAAGAAUACGAAAAGUUAGCUGAAUUACCGCUUGACAACGAAAAUUAUAUUACAUAGUAAAUACGAAAUACAUCAAAGGUUAAUAAUAUUGCUUAAUCAGAGAACUGCGGUUUCAAACGUCUUCGUCUUCCCCAUCUUCAUAACUGGAAUGCAACCAACAACAAACAACCAAAACCAGCAACAACAUCGAAUGGAGUAAAACAAAAAACAAGAACUUUAUAAGAGAGCAGUGAGAGAGAGGCGUCGGCUAACGGCUUAUCAAUUGACAAAGCGCGAGGAGAGAGAGGGAGAAGAAGCAGAGCGCUGAGUUCGCGAAAUACUCAAAAUAACAAACACUUUCAAACUGUACAUAAAUCAAGGCGCGUGUGUUGUAAAGGCGUAAAUACAGCAAAUUCCACUAAAACACUUGCCAAUACUGGACAGAGUUGUGUGCAAUAUGCGCAACGGUUUUCGGCAACGAGCGUG
rnacentral:sRNA from 1 species